rnacentral:piRNA from 1 species
UGCAGUAGCUUUCUGGACCGCCCUGUUUU